CAUGCAAAAACUAAUUCUCACAUGGGAAGAGAGGUCCGCAAUUUUGGGAAGAGUCCAACAAGGUUUGGACUCUAAGUUCUCAUUCAAAUUCAAACCUUUUGACCUCAAAUUUUAAACCAACCUCAUUCAAAUCCAAAGGAGAUCAAAAAGUAGACAUCAAUCCUCUUCUGAGUGUGAGAAAUAUUCAUGUAGAAAUAUUUCUUGCGUGAAAGAAAGAAGGGCACAG
rnacentral:lncRNA from 1 species